GAUGAACGCUGGCGGCGUGCCUAAUACAUGCAAGUCGAGCGAACGGACGAGAAGCUUGCUUCUCUGAUGUUAGCGGCGGACGGGUGAGUAACACGUGGAUAACCUACCUAUAAGACUGGGAUAACUUCGGGAAACCGGAGCUAAUACCGGAUAAUAUUUUGAACCGCAUGGUUCAAAAGUGAAAGACGGUCUUGCUGUCACUUAUAGAUGGAUCCGCGCUGCAUUAGCUAGUUGGUAAGGUAACGGCUUACCAAGGCAACGAUGCAUAGCCGACCUGAGAGGCGGAUCGGCCACACUGGAACUGAGACGCGGUCCAGACGCCUACGGGAGGCAGCAGUAGGGAAUCUUCCGCAAUGGGCGAAAGCCUGACGGAGCAACGCCGCGUGAGUGAUGAAGGUCUUCGGAUCGUAAAACUCUGUUAUUAGGGAAGAACAUAUGUGUAAGUAACUGUGCACAUCUUGACGGUACUUAAUCAGAAAGCCACGGCUAACUACGUG
rnacentral:rRNA from 1 species